GAUGAACGCUGGCGGCGUGCCUAACACAUGCAAGUCGAACGGACGGACAGUAAGAUUGUUCUUUUACUGGUGGCGGCUGGCGGGUGGGUGAGGCGUACAUAAGCAUCUUCUAUGUCUGGGGUGAUUUCGGGCAGAAAGUGACAAUACCACAGUAUACGUUGUACGGGUGUAAUCAAAGGAGAUUCGGGCUCUUGGCGAUUGUAUUAGAUGGUUUCGCGUUGGAUAUGUUAGUUGGUAAGGUAACGGCGUACCAAGGCAACGAUGCUUAGCUGGUCUGAGAGGAUGAUCGGCCACACUGGAACUGAGACACGGUCCAGACUCCUACGGGAGGCAGCAGUGGGGAAUAUUGGACAAUGGGCGAAAGCCUGAUCCAGCCAUGCCGCGUGGGUGAAGAAGGCCUUCGGGUUGUAAAGCCCUUUUGUUGGGAAAGAAAAGCAGCAGGUUAAUACCCCGCUGUUCUGACGGUACCCAAAGAAUAAGCACCGGCUAACUUCGUG
rnacentral:rRNA from 1 species